rnacentral:rRNA from 1 species
GAUGAACGCUGACAGAAUGCUUAACACAUGCAAGUCUACUUGAACUUCGGUUUGGGUGGCGGACGGGUGAGUAACGCGUAAAGAACUUGCCUCACAGAUAGGGACAACAUUUGGAAACGAAUGCUAAUACCUGAUAUUAUGAUUUUAGGGCAUCCUAGAAUUAUGAAAGCUAUAUGCACUGUGAGAGAGCUUUGCGUCCCAUUAGCUAGUUGGAGAGGUAACGGCUCACCAAGGCGAUGAUGGGUAGCCGGCCUGAGAGGGUGAUCGGCCACAAGGGGACUGAGACACGGCCCUUACUCCUACGGGAGGCAGCAGUGGGGAAUAUUGGACAAUGGACCAAGAGUCUGAUCCAGCAAUUCUGUGUGCACGAUGAAGUUUUUCGGAAUGUAAAGUGCUUUCAGUUGGGAAGAAAAAAAUGACGGUACCAACAGAAGAAGUGACGGCUAAAUACGUA